rnacentral:lncRNA from 1 species
CACCCCCAGGUGAGCAUCUGACAGCGUGGAGCAGCGCCCACACCCCCAGGUGGGCAUCUGACAGCCUGGAGCAGGCGCCCACAAUCCCAGGUUAGCAUCUGACAGCCUGGAGCAGCACCCACACCCCCAGUUGAGUAGCUGACAUCCUGGAGCUGCACCCAUACCCCCAGGUGAGAUCUGACAGCCUGGGGCAGCACCCACACCCCCAGGUGAGCAUCUGGCAACCUGGAACAGCAUCUACAGCCCCAGGUGACCAUCUGACAGCCUGAAGCAGCACCCACACCCCCAGGUGAGCAUGUGACCACAUGGAAUGUCAUCCUCACCUCCAGGUGAGCAUCGGACAGCCUGGAACAGAAUUCUCAAGCCCCAGGUGAGGAUCUGACAACCUGGAACAGAACCCCACUCUUCCAGGUGAGAAUAUGACAGCCUGAAACAGCACCCCGCACCCAGGCAAAAAUCUGACAGCAUGGAACAAGACUACUGCCCCCAGGUGAACAUCUGAUAGCCUGGAACAGAACCCCAGGCCUCCCAGUAAGCAUCUGAAAGCAAGGAACAGCACUCUCACCCCCAGGGG